AUACUUACCUGGUGCCGGGUGGCCCCUGAUCACCAAGGGGGGCGCCCUGGGUGGAGGCUGUCCAUUGCACUGCGGGCAGCUAAAGCCCGCCACUUUCCCAAACUGGGAUAGCUGGGGCAUGCAAUUUUUGGUAGUGGGGGAGCGGCGUCCGCGCCAUCCCCCU
rfam:Ixodes scapularis strain Wikel colony gcontig_1108379519742, whole genome shotgun sequence.